GACGAACGCUGGCGGCGUGCCUAAUACAUGCAAGUAGAACGCUGAAGGAGGAGCUUGCUUCUCUGGAUGAGUUGCGAACGGGUGAGUAACGCGUAGGUAACCUGCCUGGUAGCGGGGGAUAACUAUUGGAAACGAUAGCUAAUACCGCAUAAGAGUAGAUGUUGCAUGACAUUUACUUAAAAGGUGCAAUUGCAUCACUACCAGAUGGACCUGCGUUGUAUUAGCUAGUUGGUGGGGUAACGGCUCACCAAGGCGACGAUACAUAGCCGACCUGAGAGGGUGAUCGGCCACACUGGGACUGAGACACGGCCCAGACUCCUACGGGAGGCAGCAGUAGGGAAUCUUCGGCAAUGGACGGAAGUCUGACCGAGCAACGCCGCGUGAGUGAAGAAGGUUUUCGGAUCGUAAAGCUCUGUUGUAAGAGAAGAACGAGUGUGAGAGUGGAAAGUUCACACUGUGACGGUAUCUUACCAGAAAGGGACGGCUAACUACGUGCCAGCAGCCGCGGUAAUACGUAGGUCCCGAGCGUUGUCCGGAUUUAUUGGGCGUAAAGCGAGCGCAGGCGGUUAGAUAAGUCUGAAGUUAAAGGCUGUGGCUUAACCAUAGUACGCUUUGGAAACUGUUUAACUUGAGUGCAAGAGGGGAGAGUGGAAUUCCAUGUGUAGCGGUGAAAUGCGUAGAUAUAUGGAGGAACACCGGUGGCGAAAGCGGCUCUCUGGCUUGUAGCUGACGCUGAGGCUCGAAAGCGUGGGGAGCAAACAGG
rnacentral:rRNA from 1 species